UACGAAGGGGGGCUAGCGUUGCUCGGAAUCACUGGGCGUAAAGCGUGCGCAGGCGGUUCGCCAAGUCAGGUGUGAAAUCCCCGGGCUUAACCUGGGAAUUGCGCUUGAAACUAGCGGGCUUGAGUGUGGGCAGAGGGGGGUGGAAUUCCACGGUGUAGCAGUGAAAUGCGUAGAGAUGUGGAGGAACACCGAUGGCGAAGGCAGCCCCCUGGGUCAACACUGACGCUCAUGCACGAAAGCGUGGGGAGCAAACAGG
rnacentral:rRNA from 1 species